rnacentral:rRNA from 1 species
AAAGGAAUUGACGGGGACCCGCACAAGCAGCGGAGCAUGUGGUUUAAUUCGAUGCAACGCGAAGAACCUUACCAGGGCUUGACAUAUGGGUGAACGAGGUAGAGAUACCUCCGUCUUUUCGAAGACAUCCAUACAGGUGGUGCAUGGUUGUCGUCAGCUCGUGUCGUGAGAUGUUGGGUUAAGUCCCGCAACGAGCGCAACCCCUAUAACUAGUUGCCAGCACUUCGGGUGGGGACUCUAGUGAGACUGCCGAUGAUAAAUCGGAGGAAGGUGGGGAUGACGUCAAAUCAUCAUGCCCUUUAUGUCCUGGGCUACACACGUGCUACAAUGGUCGGUACAGAGGGCAGCGAGACUGUGAAGUUAAGCGAAUCUCAGAAAGCCGACCCCAGUUCGGAUUGUAGGCUGCAACUCGCCUACAUGAAGUCGGAGUUGCUAGUAAUCGCAGAUCAGAAUGCUGCGGUGAAUGCGUUCCCGGGUCUUGUACACACCGCCCGU